GUGCCAGCAGCCGCGGUAAGACGUAGGGCGCGAGCGUUGUCCGGAUUUAUUGGGCGUAAAGAGCUCGUAGGCGGCUCGUUGCGUCAAUCGUGAAAACCUACUGCUUAACGGUGGGCUUGCGGUUGAUACGGGCGGGCUGGAGUUCGGUAGGGGAGACUGGAAUUCCUGGUGUAGCGGUGAAAUGCGCAGAUAUCAGGAGGAACACCGGUGGCGAAGGCGGGUCUCUGGGCCGAUACUGACGCUGAGGAGCGAAAGCGUGGGGAGCGAACAGGAUUAGAUACCCUGGUAGUCCACGCUGUAAACGUUGGGCGCUAGGUGUGGGGGGCCUCUCCGGUUCUCUGUGCCGCAGCUAACGCAUUAAGCGCCCCGCCUGGGGAGUACGGCCGCAAGGCUAAA
rnacentral:rRNA from 1 species